rnacentral:rRNA from 1 species
UGUGUGUUAGUGGAACGGUCUGGAAAGUCCGACGGUACAGGGUGAUAGUCCCGUACACCAAAAUGCACAGGCUGUGAACUCGAAGAGUAGGGCGGGACACGUGGUAUCCUGUCUGAAUAUGGGGGGACCAUCCUCCAAGGCUAAAUACUCCUGACUGACCGAUAGUGAACCAGUACCGUGAGGGAAAGGCGAAAAGAACCCCGGCGAGGGGAGUGAAAAAGAACCUGAAACCGUGUACGUACAAGCAGUGGGAGCACCUUCGGGUGUGACUGCGUACCUUUUGUAUAAUGGGUCAGCGACUUAUAUUCUGUAGCAAGGUUAACCGUAUAGGGGAGCCGCAGGGAAACCGAGUCUUAACUGGGCGUUAAGUUGCAGGGUAUAGACCCGAAACCCGGUGAUCUAGCCAUGGGCAGGUUGAAGGUUGGGUAACACUAACUGGAGGACCGAACCGACUAAUGUUGAAAAAUUAGCGGAUGACUUGUGGCUGGGGGUGAAAGGCCAAUCAAACCGGGAGAUAGCUGGUUCUCCCCGAAAGCU